UAGAUUUAUAAUUGAUUUGAUAACAUAUUUUUUUAUUUUAAUCUGCAUUUUAUAUUAUACAUUAAUUUGCUAUUAUAUACUAACUUCGGAUAAUUGAAAAUCUUUUGGGGGGUGUAUAACAAAGCAAUUGAAAUGGGCCCUCCAUUGAAUGUGUAAAUUGUAAAAACAACAACACCCAUAUCCUUCUCCCUAUUCUGUGACUAUGUGCUAAUUAGGAGGAGAUAAUGAAGAGCCCCUGGUACACAAUGAGGGCUUCACACUUCAUUUCUGAAGAGAGUCUUGAAGAACCAACGAUGUCAGACAACUGUAUCAAGUGCCAGUGGGUUGGUACGACAUCGACAGGAAGCUAUACACUGUGAACAUUGGCAACACCGAACAUGUAAUUCAGGAAUCAGUAGACAACGGUAUCGGGAACUGGCUAGACAACAGGAGAGUUUUGACUGCAGCUGACUGCUGACUGCAGCGGAACUACAGAUGUUAACUUUGAAACAAAUAAUAUUAAAUUUCACAUUUAACAUGCCUUAUACCACCUUCACACUCACGGAUUUUUCUUACGAGUCCUUACGGAUCUCCGACUCGUAGUCAACCGCAAGCAUUCGUAAAUCACUCGUCGGUAUCCGUUAAUAACUCGCACACACUCGUAGGGAUCCGUGAAAUUAGGGGCAAAUUUUUUGACAUGUCAAAAAAAAUUCACGAUUGUCCACGGAUUUCAUUUUCCGUAAAUAACCCGUAAAUAACUUGUAACAAUCCGUAAGUAUCGUAAACUGAUCGCAAGAACACGUAAACUGCUCGUACAUUUGUAAGAAUCCGUAAAACACUCGUAAAAAUUUUUUUUUUACGAAUCUUUGCUGUUAGUUUACGAUAUGUUACGGAUAGUUUACGAGUUGUUUACGGAUUAUUGCGAAUGUCUAAGUGAUAUUACGUCGGGUUACCAUCGCUUUGCGGAUUGUUCAGAGUCAUUACGAGCACUUUACGUAUAAACACGAUUACUUUACGAGUACAUACUUAAACUUUACGAUUAAGGAAAGGUAUAAAAGACGCAAAAUCUGACAGUUUCUUUCAGUUGUUAUCAAGACAUCAAAGAAGUAACAAAUCUUGAAAACAAUAUACAUACAUGCUGUUACAAGUAAUGUCAGUUGUCGAAUGAUGAUACAAAGCCAAUUGCGAACACUUUUGAGUCAAAAACGUAAACAAUCGUUACUAACUCUUAACUAUUCGUAACAGCACAUUAUCAACACGUUAACAGGUGGUAAUUUACACGUAAAAGCUAAGCUAAAUCGUAAAUUUUCGUAAAAUACUCUUAACAAUCCCUAAAUCGUAAAUGUGUGCCGUAAAUGCAUCGCAAGAACUCGUAAUAAACCGUAAAUGACCCGUAAAUACUUUUAAAACGUUCUUAAACAACUCUUUAAAGUGUCUAAAUCGUAACAAUCCGUUUACUUUUACGGAUUUGUGGAAUACGUAAGGAUGCGUAAGAAAAUUCCGUGAGUGUGAAGGUACCAUUAUCAUUGGUAUGCAAUAUCAUCUAGUGCUUUUUCUUUAUAUAUGUACUGUGUCAGUUGUGUAUUAGUUUUUGUGUUAAUAUACUGGAUCAUCUGUAUUGUAAUAAAAAUAUAGUACAGAAUUAAAAUUGAACAGUGUUCCUUGCUUUAAUGUAAAACUUAAACGGUACCAAUUUUGAUGCACCAGAUUCGCAUUUCAACAAAUAAUGUCCCUUCAGUAAUGCUGAAGCCUAAAACGUUGGAAAUCCGAAAUGAUAAUAAACUUUGAAGAGUUGGAGAAAAAAGAUCGAGUGCCAAU